CACUGCUGAGCUGCGUCAAGGUGAAGAAAGCACCCUUUGAUCCCUCCCAGAGUGGUGAGGGGAGAAAGGGAACAACGAUAUACGAUACGAACAACAAUAAUGACUCUGAUACUGGCUUGGACAACUCUGCAGGUGACGUAAAAAGGAUCAAGGACAAGAGUAAAGGAAAGGUUAGGGGAGAGAAAUACUGUAUUAAAUCUCAGGACCACAAAUGCAAAACGACACCGGAAACAGAAAAAGACAUUAAACAAAGACCUAACUCGGUCUCCCCUGAGGAGAAAGCAAAGGAGACCCAUCAGAAAGAGAAGAAGAAGAGCA
rnacentral:lncRNA from 1 species